rfam:Laetiporus sulphureus 93-53 unplaced genomic scaffold LAESTscaffold_48, whole genome shotgun sequence.
GCCGGGAUAGCUCAGCUGGGAGAGCAACAGACUGAAGAUCGCAUGGAUUGAACGAGGGUUCUGGAGGUCGCGUGUUCGAGCCACGCUCCUGGCA